AAUCACACACACGAUGAAAGGACUCCGGAAGAAGUUACAACACCGCCCGCGUCAGCAUACCUUGGUGGACGUGGCCUUACUGACGCGUCUGCAUGGCUGUUUCAAUCAUGACACCCAAAAAGAUGCCGCAGUCUGGGCUGCUCUGCUCUUCUGCUUCUUCACCUUCUUCCGCCGCUCCAACGUUGUCCUCGACUCCAAGACGUCGUUCGAUCCGAAACGUCAUCUCCAACGCAAGGACGUACUGACGUCCCCCUCUGGUCUACUAGUCUAUACCAAGUGGUCCAAGACUCUGCAGCACCGUGAACGUGUUCUACAAAUUCCCUUGGUCCCAAUACCAGACUCCGUCCUAUGCCCAGUCUCUGCAUAUCAACACAUGUGCACUUUAAUCCCCGCGUCUCCUGAUUCACCAGCCUUCGUCCUGCCAAGUUCGACAAACACUGCUCGCCCGCUGACCACCUCCAUCCUGGAGAAGGCUCUAGCCAAGGCUAUCAAGGCCCUGGCCCUCCCCAAGGGUGCGGUCACCCUCCACGAUCUGCGCAGGGGUGGGUACACCCUCGCCUUCCAGGCGGGCGUCCCGAGAGAGCUACGUCAGCUCCACGGGGACUGGAAAUCAGAUGCAGACCAUCUCUACCUGACGGCCAACAUCCGCGAUCGCCUGAAGCUACCAUCUGCUCUGAGGGACUACAUCCUCCGACAUACGAGCACAUGAACUCUCUAUGUAUGAGGACUCUUGGCACAUGUUCACUGUUAUUAUGUAACUGAUGUUAACAGGCCAAGCUCCUUAACGCUACGGAGCCGACCUUUCCUUAUGUAACUAUGUUCGAUUUCGGUAUUUAGGAAAUGUAGAUCUUGAGACAUAGAGACGUUUGUUCUUUCCUAGUUUCCCUGUUUAACUUAGUUACAACCCUUGUUCUUCUAAUGUUGCACGCGUAGACCCAGAUGUAUUACAGCCUGGUAUGUUUCCUCGUUUAUCUAGUUGUUGCCUCAAACCGUUGAGCUCCACUUGCUUUAUGUCAGAUUUUCCAGCAAUAUCCUGUAUGUAAGUCCGAGCACUUCAUCCACUAGUUAGUUAGCAAGUUGGCUAGUUUGUUAGUUAGUUUAUAGCACUAGUUGUUUAGUUCCCAUGUGUUGGGUGGGCGGUUCCUCUCCUCUCCUCAUACCUUCCUGCUUUGGCCGUCUCGCUCUCUCGACCCUGGCGCUCAGAGGUCUUUUUCUCCUUUACAUCGAUUAAAAGCUCUGAAUUCGGCCAAAUGCAGGUCUCAGUCUCUCUCCUUUAAGUGUAAUCAUGUUGGGAUUGCGCAAUAGGCGUAAUACCCGGGGAUUGCACUGGAGAUUGAGGAGUUGGGUCGCCCCCCUCUAAGGGGAAGCCAGGGGCGCAUGCGCAUUAGCCUGUUCAAUUUCCAACCGAAAGGGAGCAGCCAUUUUCGGUCCUUUAGCUACCCUCCCUCCCUCCCACAAUGCAACAGGCUCAGCACUUGCGCCAAUGGCUUUCUCUCCACACAUGGCGCUCAGAGGUCUUUUUCUCCUUUACAUCGAUUAAAAGCUCUGAAUUCGGCCAAAUGCAGGUCUCAGUCUCU